GAUGAAGAACGUAGCGAAAUGCGAUAAGUAAUGUGAAUUGCAGAAUUCAGUGAAUCAUCGAAUCUUUGAACGCACAUUGCGCCCGCCAGUAUUCUGGCGGGCAUGCCUGUUCGAGCGUCAUUUCAACCCUCAGGCCCCCAGUGCCUGGUGUUGGGGAUCGGCCCAGCCUUCCUGUAAGGCCGCCGGCCCCGAAAUCUAGUGGCGGUCUCGCUGUAGUCCUCCCCUGCGUAGUAGCACAACCUCGCAGUUGGAACGCGGCGGUGGCCAUGCCGUUAAACACCCCACUUCUGAAAGUUGACCUCGGAUCAGGUAGGAAUACCCGCUGAACUUAAGCAUAUCAAUAAGCGGAGGA
rnacentral:misc_RNA from 1 species